rnacentral:rRNA from 1 species
UAGGAAUAUGCCUUAAAGUGGGGGACAACUUGGGGAAACUCAAGCUAAUACCGCAUAAUUUCUUCGGAAAAAGCUAGGGACCUUCGGGCCUGGCGCUUUAAGAUUAGCCUGCGUACGAUUAGCUAGUUGGUAGGGUAAAGGCCUACCAAGGCGACGACGGGUAGCUGGU